rnacentral:rRNA from 1 species
CAUGUCCUUUAGAAUUUAAUUUAAGGUCUAGCCUGCCCACUGAAGUUAAUUUAAAUGGCCGCAGUAAUUUGACUGUGCAAAGGUAGCAUAAUCAUUAGUUUUUUAAUUGAAAGCUUGUAUGAAAGGUUGGACGAGGUAAAAUCUGUCUCUAAUUGAUUUAAUAUAGAAUUUAACUUUUAAGUUAAAAGGCUUAAAUUUAAUUAAAAGACGAGAAGACCCUAUAGAUCUUUAUAAUUUAUUUAUUAAAUUUAAUUAAGAAUUUUUUAAAUUUUAUUGAUUUAAUUAUUUUAUUGGGGUAAUAUAAAGAUUAAAUUAAUUCUUUUUUUUUAUUAACAUUAAUUUAUGAUUUUAUGAUCCAAUUUUAUUGGUUAUAAGAUUAAGUUACCUUAGGGAUAACAGCGUUAUUUUUUUAGAGAGUUCUUAUCGAUAAAAAAGUUUACGACCUCGAUGUUGGAUUAAAGAUUAUUUCAGGUGUAGAAGUUUGAAAAUUUUGGUCUGUUCGACCAUUAAAUCUUUACAUGAUCUGAGUUCAGACCGGUGUAAGCCAGGUCGGUUUCUAUCUUUAGUAAAUUAAAAUAUUUUAGUACGAAAGGACCAAUUAUUUAAUAUAAAAUAUUUAAAUUUUAUUGAUUAUUAUU